AAUGGGGCAGGAAGUGCUGGGGAGGUGUUCGUGGGAUAGAGCGCUGCCUUAGAGUGUGAAGUGGCUCAAUUGUCAGGAAGCCAAAGGGGCAUAAUCUUUCCCCUCUUGGAUGUGGAGAUGAGCUACCCACUUUGGGACAGGGCUACUAUAAGCUCAGUGACAGCCCCGAACUCAACACCUCACUUCCUCCUCCAGGCCGCUGAUACCCAGGACUCCACUGCCUAGGAUCAGCCUCCUCCACCCAGAUGGAGCUCCUGUGGAUAGGUCUCAUCUUGCUGGAGAUGAUGCAAACCCAGGCCCAAGGCCCAAGAAGGCAUGGGGGGCUCCCUCAAGUCCCACACCCCAAUUUGCCUUUUCACAAGAUCUGUCUCCUGCCCAGCCAGGGGAAGGAGAGAGUGACUGUGAGCUCAGGCCGAGCAGGCCCUGUUCCCAUGGGUAGGAGCCUGGAACGGAGAGCUCAGCCCAAUGCCAACCCUACACAGACUCCAUAUUCUCCUGUGGCCCUCGGGACCCUCCAGGCCAGAAGACCACCCAUCAGACUUGGCUGACCAUGGCAGACUCGGCCCCCUCCACAUCCCAGCGAGACUUGUGCCCCUCCUCACAGGCGUUCAGCCUCAUCCGCCCCCAGCACAAAUAAACACCUGUCACAGAGGAA